GAAAACUGCAUGCCAAAUUUUCUGACCAACUACUUGUGGGUUGAGAGUUCUCCUUUGGGAGAACCCCAAAGUCAGCCAGACGCCUGACUGCCAGUCCCAGGGUGUGGGCUUUGGUCUGCCUGAGCUGACUGCAAGUGACCCAGAUGCGUUGAAGGUGGAACCAUUUCCCUUUUACCUGGAACAACCAAGUGCCUUCCAGGAUGGGGGUGUUUCCCCCUCACAGUCACCCGUGGCUCUCACUCCUCCCUAUCCCUUAGCAUCCCUCUUAGUCUCUGAGCGAGCUGAACCCACUCCAAAUCAAGUAACUGGGUUUACGCUA